AACGCUAGCUACAGGCUUAACACAUGCAAGUCGAGGGGCAGCACGGGAGUAGCAAUACAACUGGUGGCGACCGGCGCACGGGUGAGUAACGCGUAUGCAACCUACCUGUCAGAGGGGAAUAACCCGGCGAAAGUCGGACUAAUACCGCAUAAAACAGGGGCACCGCAUGGUGAUAUUUGUUAAAGAAAUUCGCUGAUAGAUGGGCAUGCGUUCCAUUAGGUAGUUGGUGAGGUAACGGCUCACCAAGCCGACGAUGGAUAGGGGAACUGAGAGGUUGGUCCCCCACACUGGUACUGAGACACGGACCAGACUCCUACGGGAGGCAGCAGUGAGGAAUAUUGGUCAAUGGGCGGGAGCCUGAACCAGCCAAGUCGCGUGAAGGAAGAAGGAUCUAUGGUUCGUAAACUUCUUUUGCAGGGGAAUAAAGUGCGGGACGUGUCCUGUUUUGUAUGUACCCUGAGAAUAAGGAUCGGCUAACUCCGUGCCAGCAGCCGCGGUAAUACGGAGGAUCCGAGCGUUAUCCGGAUUUAUUGGGUUUAAAGGGUGCGUAGGUGGUUUGAUAAGUCAGCAGUGAAAGUUUGCAGCUUAACUGUAAAAAUGCCGUUGAAACUGUCGGACUUGAGUGUAAAUGAGGUAGGCGGAAUGCGUGGUGUAGCGGUGAAAUGCUUAGAUAUCACGAAGAACUCCGAUUG
rnacentral:rRNA from 1 species